ACUCCUACGGGAGGCAGCAGUGGGGAAUAUUGCACAAUGGGCGCAAGCCUGAUGCAGCCAUGCCGCGUGUGUGAAGAAGGCCUUCGGGUUGUAAAGCACUUUUCAGUCGUGAGGAAGGUAGUGUAGUUAAUAGCUGCAUUAUUUGACGUUAGCGACAGAAGAAGCACCGGCUAACUCCGUGCCAGCAGCCGCGGUAAGUACGGAGGGUGCGAGCGUUAAUCGGUAAUUACUGGGCGUAAAGCGCAUGCAGGUGGUUGUUAAGUCAGAUGUGAAAGCCCGGGGCUCAACCUCGGAAUAGCAUUUGAAACUGGCAGACUAGAGUACUGUAGAGGGGGUAGAAUUUCAGGUGUAGCGGUGAAAUGCGUAGAGAUCUGAAGGAUACCGGUGGCGAAGGCGGCCCCUGGACAGAUACUGACACUCAGAUGCGAAAGCGUGGGAGCAAACGAGGAUUAGAUACCCCGUGGUAGACUGUCA
rnacentral:rRNA from 1 species